rfam:Canis lupus familiaris chromosome 1, whole genome shotgun sequence.
AGGAGGAACAACCCCAGUGGCUGCGGCAGCUCUGCAGCCCUGGAGUCAGCUCCCGCAGGAACUACAGAGCUCUCGGUCUGCAGGGCCUGGAGGCUCCGGGGCGGG